rnacentral:rRNA from 1 species
GACGAACGCUGGCGGUAUGCUUAACACAUGCAAGUCGAACGAGAAGUUUUUUAUUGAACCUUCGGGGGAUAUAAGAGACAGACAGUGGCGAACGGGUGAGUAACGCGUGGGCAACCUACCUAUCGGAGCGGGAUAGCCUCGAGAAAUCGGGAGUAAAACCGCAUAACACGGAUAUAUCGCAUGAUGAAUCCGUCAAAACUCCGGUGCCGAUAGAUGGGCCCGCGUCUGAUUAGCUAGUUGGUAAGGUAAGGGCUUACCAAGGCAACGAUCAGUAGCCGGUCUGAGAGGGCGAACGGCCACACUGGAACUGAGACACGGUCCAGACUCCUACGGGAGGCAGCAGUGGGGAAUAUUGCGCAAUGGGGGCAACCCUGACGCAGCAAUACCGCGUGAGUGAAGAAGGUUUUCGGAUCGUAAAGCUCUGUUAUUGGGGAAGAAGCAGUGACGGUACCCAAUGGGGAAGUCCCGGCUAACUACGUGCCAGCAGCCGCGGUAAUACGUAGGGGACGAGCGUUGUCCGGAAUCACUGGGCGUAAAGGGCGCGUAGGCGGUUUUAUAAGUCAGAUGUGAAAGGUACCGGCUCAACCGGUGACGUGCAUUUGAAACUGUAAGACUUGAGUACUGAAGAGGCAAGCGGAAUUCCUAGUGUAGCGGUGAAAUGCGUAGAUAUUAGGAAGAACACCGGUGGCGAAGGCGGCUUGCUGGGCAGAUACUGACGCUGAGGUGCGAAAGCGUGGGGAGCGAACAGG